GACAUUGCCCAGAAAGCAUCAGUGGGGGGAUCACUGCAAUCUUGGCGUCCCUUGGCCUGUAGAAGCAUCACCCCAUCUCGGCCCCAUCUUCGCGGGGCUUCUCCCCGCUAGUGAGUCCCAACGUCCCCUCAGUCAUUGCUUUAGGGCCCACCCUACUCCAGCGUGACCUCACCCCAACUAACUAUACCUGCAACAACCCUAUUCCCAAAUAAGGUCCCCUUCUGAGGUCUGAGGGUCAGGACUUCGACAUACGGAUCU